rnacentral:rRNA from 1 species
ACGUAGGGUGCGAGCGUUGUUCGGAUUUACUGGGCGUAAAGGGCGCGUAGGCGGCUCUGUAAGUCACUUGUGAAAUCUCUGAGCUUAACUCAGAACGGCCAAGUGAUACUGCAGAGCUAGAGUGUAGAAGGGGCAAUCGGAAUUCUUGGUGUAGCGGUGAAACGCGUAGAUAUCAAGAGGAACACCUGAGGUGAAGACGGGUUGCUGGUCUAACACUGACGCUGAGGCGCGAAAGCCAGGGGAGCAAACGGGAUUAGAUACCCCGGUAGUCCUGGCCCUAAACGAUGAAUACUUGGUGUCUGGAACUAUUAAGUUCUGGGUGCCGUCGCUAACGUUUUAAGUAUUCCGCCUGGGGAGUACGCUCGCAAGAGUG